AGAGUUUGAUCAUGGCUCAGAUUGAACGCUGGCGGCAGGCCUAACACAUGCAAGUCGAGCGGUAACAGGAAUUAGCUUGCUAAUUUGCUGACGAGCGGCGGACGGGUGAGUAAUGCUUGGGAAUAUGCCUUUAGGUGGGGGACAACAGUUGGAAACGACUGCUAAUACCGCAUAAUAUCUACGGAUCAAAGUGGGGGACCUUCGGGCCUCACGCCUAUAGAUUAGCCCAAGUGGGAUUAGCUAGUUGGUGAGGUAAAGGCUCACCAAGGCAACGAUCCCUAGCUGGUUUGAGAGGAUGAUCAGCCACACUGGAACUGAGACACGGUCCAGACUCCUACGGGAGGCAGCAGUGGGGAAUAUUGCACAAUGGGCGCAAGCCUGAUGCAGCCAUGCCGCGUGUAUGAAGAAGGCCUUCGGGUUGUAAAGUACUUUCAGCGAGGAGGAAAGGUUACGUGUUAAUAGCACGUAGCUGUGACGUUACUCGCAGAAGAAGGACCGGCUAACUCCGUGCCAGCAGCCGCGGUAAUACGGAGGGUCCGAGCGUUAAUCGGAAUUACUGGGCGUAAAGCGUACGCAGGCGGUUUGUUAAGCGAGAUGUGAAAGCCCCGGGCUCAACCUGGGAACUGCAUUUCGAACUGACAAACUAGAGUUUUGUAGAGGGUGGUAGAAUUUCAGGUGUAGCGGUGAAAUGCGUAGAGAUCUGAAGGAAUACCAGUGGCGAAGGCGGCCACCUGGACAAUAACUGACGCUCAUGUACGAAAGCGUGGGGAGCAAACGGGAUUAGAUACCCCGGUAGUCCACGCCGUAAACGAUGUCAACUAGCCGACUGACCCCUGAGGGUUGGGUGGCGCAGCUAACGCAUUAAGUUGACCGCCUGGGGAGUACGGCCGCAAGAUUAAAACUCAAAUGAAUUGACGGGGGCCCGCACAAGCGGUGGAGCAUGUGGUUUAAUUCGAUGCAACGCGAAGAACCUUACCUACUCUUGACAUCCACAGAACUUUCCAGAGAUGGAUUGGUGCCUUCGGGAACUGAGUGACAGGUGCUGCAUGGCUGUCGUCAGCUCGUGUCGUGAGAUGUUGGGUUAAGUCCCGCAACGAGCGCAACCCCUAUCUCUAGUUGCCAGCGGUAAUGGUGGGAACUCUAAGGAGACUGCCGGUGACAAACCGGAGGAAGGUGGGGACGACGUCAAGUCAUCAUGGCCCUUAUGGCUUGGGCUACACACGUGCUACAAUGGGGCGUACAGAGAGUUGCGAUACCGCGAGGUGGAGCUAAUCUCAUAAAGCGUCUCUCAGUUCGGAUUGGACUCUGCAACUCGAGUCCAUGAAGCUGGAAUCACUAGUAAUCGUAGAUCAGCAAUGCUACGGUGAAUACGUUCCCGGGUCUUGUACUCACCGCCCGUCACACCAUGGGAGUUGAUUUCACCCGAAAUCGGGAAGCAAACCUUCGGGAUGCUACCGCUUACGGUGGAAUUAGUGACUGGGGUGAAGUCGUAACAAGGUAACCGU
rnacentral:rRNA from 1 species